GACGAAACGCUGGCAGUGUGUCUUACACAUGCAAGUCGGGCGGAUCUCUCUAAUUGCAGCAAUGCAAUUGGAGAGAUCGAGCGGCAAACGGGUGAGUAAUGGAUAGGUAAUCUACCAUAAUGACUGGGAUACCCCCUUGAAAAAGGGAUCAAUACCAGAUAAUGUCAGUUUAAAUACUUUUAAACUGAAGAAAGAUGGCCCAAAGCUAUCACAUUAUGAUGAGCCUAUCUCCUAUCAGCUUGUUGGUGAGGUAAUGGCUCACCAAGGCUAUGACGGGUAGCUGGUCUGAGAGGAUGGUCAGCCACACUGGAACUUAGAUACGGUCCAGACUCCGUACGGGAGGCAGCAGUGGGGAAUCGUUGGGCAAGUGGGCGAAAGCCUGACCCAGCGACACUGCGGUGGGGUGAGUGAAGAUUCGUUUGGUAUUGUAAAGCUCUGUCGUGGGAGGGACGGAAGGAAGUGACGGUACCGUCCGGAGGAGCCAC
rnacentral:rRNA from 1 species